CCUACGGGAGGCAGCAGUGAGGAAUAUUGGUCAAUGGACGAGAGUCUGAACCAGCCAAGUAGCGUGAAGGAUGACUGCCCUAUGGGUUGUAAACUUCUUUUAUAUGGGAAUAAAACAGGGUAUGCAUACCCUCUUGUAUGUACCAUAUGAAUAAGGAUCGGCUAACUCCGUGCCAGCAGCCGCGGUAAUACGGAGGAUCCGAGCGUUAUCCGGAUUUAUUGGGUUUAAACGGAUCGUAGGUGGAUAGUUAAGUCAGGUGUGAAAGUUUGCGGCUCAACCGUAAAAUUGCAGUUGAAACUGGCAGGCGUGAGUACAGUAGAGGUGGGCGGAAUUGGUGGUGUAGCGGUGAAAGGCUUAGAUAUCACGAAGAACUCCGAUUGCGAAGGCAGCUCACUGGACUGCAACUGACACUGAUGCUCGAAAGUGUGGGUAUCAAACAGGAUUAGAUACUGUAGUC
rnacentral:rRNA from 1 species